rnacentral:lncRNA from 1 species
CUAUUCUCUGUUACGAUCCUGCGACAAGUAUCAUCACAGGAGUGGCUGCGAUGCCCAGACCAGUGUCCUACCAUGGCUGUGUGACUAUUCAUAGAUACAAUGAGAAAUGCUUUAAGCUCUAACAAUACCUCACACAAGAAGCCAAUGCCAAUCCAAGAGGAAAGUUUUUAAAACGACCAUGUGCGAACACAACUUUGUGCCAUCUGCAAAAAAGAAAUAAAUAAUCCUGUUGCCUUUCUGACCCAAACACCAGACUUCAAGCUGUCAAAUGUCAGUCCUUUUCUGUAAUGGGGUGGGGUGGAUUACAGUGAGCCAGGACCUGCGUCUAUCCCAGCACCCAGAAGGCAGGUUUCUAUACUUUUGAACCCAGCCUGGUCUGCAUAAAAUGUUCUAGGCCAGCAAAAGUAAGAAUUUGGCCUAUGAUUAUACUUUUGCAUUUUUGAAAAACUAGGUGGGGUAGGCAGUAAUGCCCAGUGUAAACUUCUUAGGGAUUUGUGGACCCUCUUUCAGGAAUGUGUCCUUUUUUUGUCAGUUUUGUAGAAAAUAUUGCAUGACUGAAGCUUCAUUUAGGUUGAAUUGCCUGAUGUUAAGAAUGUUUAGAACUCAUUGUGAGGGGAGGAAAUGAGUUUGUUUGUUCGUUGUUUUAACCAUUUAUUUAAGUUAUGUGCAUUGGUGAAAGGGGAUCAGAUCCCUUGGAACUAGAGUUACAGACAGUUAUGAACUGCCCUGCCAUGUGGGUGCUGGAAAUUGAACCCCAGACCUCUGGAAAAACAGACCGUGCUCUUAACCACUGAACCAUCUCUCUCCAGCCCCCAGAAAUGAGUUUUAAAUAUCUGUCACGGACUUUAUCCCUGCCGGUUAAUUUUAUUGAAGGCUUUUUGGGGUUUUGUUUGUUUUUUCCUAAUUAUAAAAGUGUAGUAACAAUUCAGCUACCAUAAAACACCAAAUUUUAUGACUGUAUAGACUGUUCUCUGAUAUUAAAUACUUUGUGAGCUUAUGUAGGAGAUAGAAAAGUAAGAAAAUUUAAAUUAUACAUUAGUCCCUAAGGAAAAAUUAAAGUAACUAUUGAAAAAAAAAAUGUGAUCCACUUUGGUUCUCAGGGUAUUUAAUGAAUCAUCUGUGAGUCCACUAAAGGAGUUCUUCCCUCUAAACUAAUCUAGGAGCUAACGUCCCGCUUACGGGCAGGCGGGUGUCUGUGUCCAGGGUGUUUCCCAGGCAUGGCAGUGCACACCCGUGUCCAGGGUCUGGAAGGUACAUCGAAAGAAACCAAAUGGGCUGGACAGAGUGUUAGUGAACACUCACUGCUCCCAGCCCCUAUCAGGUGGCUCACUAAUUUCUGCAGCUCUAAUUCCAGGGAAUCGUAACACCUUCUGGCCUCCCUAGAUAUCUACAAGCAUGUGGUGCACAUACAUUCACACAGGCACACAUGUAUGUAAAAGAGAUAUAUCUUAAGACAAAUAUGCAUUUUGUAAUACUGAAAAAAAAAGAAAGAAAGGCAAGAGCAGGUUUGCUCCCUACCCAGUCUGGCAGAGUUUGAUCUUACGAUGCUUUGUGAGUGCCACUCCGCUCGCUCGUUCACUGCCAUGUAAGCAGUUGUCAGUCUAGGAAGGCUGACUGAUUCCUUAACAUCCUACAGUCACUCUUCUCAGUGGGGCCACGUGUUUGUGACUCUGACCAGCAGCAGUUCUGGUCUUCAGAGAGAAAUCUCUUAUUGGGGAGAGCUCUUUUAUUUGUAUAAAAUACUGAUCAACAUUUUCAGAUUUCUAUUAAAGUUUUCCCUCAGGUUCUUCACCUCCAUUUUAUAAAACUUAGUACUUUUCAAAGGGAAAUGUGAAAUUUUUCUUAGAAAUAUAAGUAAAUACAGCAGGAAUUAGCAUAACUAAUUAUUGUAACUUCUGUGUGGACAGAUAACGAUUUACAAUGCCCUAGGCUGCAGCAGGUCUCUCACUAUAAUAUACUCCUUGUUGAUGACAAUAGUGUCACUAGAUUUCUGUUCACGUUAAGGCAGUCAUCAAAGCCUAGCAUUGGCAGACAACUUCUUUCUCAGCUUAGGAGAAUACAAACGUUUUUAAGAGUCAUGCUUAAUUGGAAUCCAAAUUCUGAGAAAAAUGCUUACAAGGUAUAUUUGGGAAAUUGUUGUCACGUCAUAAAUGGUGAGUAAUGUAACACAGCUAAGGAAGCAGCUCCGAAACAGUCAUCUGUCAGUCGACAGACAGACGUACGGAUAGUCAAGGGUAUCUGUACUGUAAUUUUAUAGUAAAUAUCUUCAUUAGACUUCUGUUAGAGAAUGGAGAUUGUUUGGUUCAGAAAUUCUUAAACAGUAAAGUGUGUGAAUAAAGGUGUUUUAUAAAUGCUUAGGACUCUGCAGAUGCUAACUGUUAUGUAUGUGUGUAAGAUCAUGCCCAUUCAUAAAUACAUAUAUAAAACUCGGUCAAAAUAAAUUUGUAUCUUAGUAUUUUUGUCUGUUGUAAAAGUAUUAUCUACUUGUAUCUUGUAAUGUUUAUCUUUCAUAUAUCUUGUUUAUUGUAAAUUGGAAAAAAAUCCUCAAAAUCAGAAUUUGUUUAAACACAUUACUUUUUCUUUAUGUUGCAAAUUAUAUUAAAAGUUACCAGAAAGUACCUGAAUCCUAGAAAAUUAACUUUUUAAAGAUACCCAGUUGAUAUUUUAACUUCCUUUAAUUUCUUUUCUUUGCUAAUUCUUGAUAAAUAAUGGUGGUAAGCCCCGGUUUAAGAAAAAUAAUUUUAGAGUAUAAUUAGUGCAUUAAAAGGGAUACAUCAACCA